rnacentral:rRNA from 1 species
UUUUGUAUAAUGGGUCAGCGACUUAUAUUCUGUAGCAAGGUUAACCGAAUAGGGGAGCCGAAGGGAAACCGAGUCUUAACUGGGCGUUAAGUUGCAGGGUAUAGACCCGAAACCCGGUGAUCUAGCCAUGGGCAGGUUGAAGGUUGGGUAACACUAACUGGAGGACCGAACCGACUAAUGUUGAAAAAUUAGCGGAUGACUUGUGGCUGGGGGUGAAAGGCCAAUCAAACCGGGAGAUAGCUGGUUCUCCCCGAAAGCUAUUUAGGUAGCGCCUCGUGAAUUCAUCUCCGGGGGUAGAGCACUGUUUCGGCUAGGGGGUCAUCCCGACUUACCAACCCGAUGCAAACUGCGAAUACCGGAGAAUGUUAUCACGGGAGACACACGGCGGGUGCUAACGUCCGUCGUGAAGAGGGAAACAACCCAGACCGCCAGCUAAGGUCCCAAAGUCAUGGUUAAGUGGGAAACGAUGUGGGAAGGCUCAGACAGCCAGGAUGUUGGCUUAGAAGCAGCCAUCAUUUAAAGAAAGCGUAAUAGCUCACUGGUCGAGUCGGCCUGCGCGGAAGAUGUAACGGGGCUAAACCAUGCACC